CUCGUGUCGUGAGAUGUUGGUAGUCCGCAACGAGCGCAACCCCUAUUGUUAGUUGCCAUCAUUCAGUUUGGGCACUCUAGCGAGACUGCCGGUAAUAAACCGGAGGAAGGUGGGGAUGACGUCAAAUCAUCAUGCCCCUUAUGACCUGGGCUACACACGUGCUACAAUGGUUGGUACAACGAGUUGCGAGUCGGUGACGGCGAGCUAAUCUCUUAAAGCCAAUCUCAGUUCGGAUUGUAGGCUGCAACUCGCCUACAUGAAGUCGGAAUCGCUAGUAAUCGCGGAUCAGCACGCCGCGGUGAAUACGUUCCCGGGCCUU
rnacentral:rRNA from 1 species